rnacentral:rRNA from 1 species
CGGGUGAGUAAUGUCUGGGAAACUGCCUGAUGGAGGGGGAUAACUACUGGAAACGGUAGCUGAUACCGCAUAACGUCGCAAGACCAAAGAGGGGGACCUUCGGGCCUCUUGCCAUCGGAUGUGCCCAGAUGGGAUUAGCUAGUAGGUGGGGUAACGGCUCACCUAGGCGACGAUCCCUAGCUGGUCUGAGAGGAUGACCAGCCACACUGGAACUGAGACACGGUCCAG